AUAUCACUAAGCGGAGGAAAAGAAAUUAACUAAGAUUGCCUCAGUAACGGCGAGUGAAGCGGCAAGAGCCCAAGCUGGAAAUCUUCACACUGCGUGUGACGAAUUGUAAUCUAAAGAGGGUUCGCUCAACGGGCGGUGGCGCAGAAGUGCCUUAGAACGGGCCGCCAAAGAGGGUGACAGCCCCGUAUGUGGUGCCAUCGCCUAACGAGCUCCUUUCGACGAGUCGGGUAGCUUUGAAUUGCUGCCCUAAGCUGGGAGAUAGACUUCUUCUAAGGCUAAAUAUAUAUGGGAGACCGAUAGCGCACAAGUA
rnacentral:rRNA from 1 species